CCGGUGCCAAAAAGGUUGAGGGCCGCUGUCUAUAAAAUGGGGCUUCAGUCUACCAUGCAAGAAUGUUGCGAGACAGGAGAUGCGCUAUGUGAAGGGUCUGGUCCUGCCUUCUGCUCAACCUCUCUGUGCCCAGAAAGUAGAGCGAGGACCCAGGGAUAAGCAAGGACUCCGUGUGGGAAGCCCCCUGGAGCAGAGGGAUGUGAGCAGCUGUGCCAGGGAGUGUGGGCAGAGGGGUUCUGAGCAGAGAGGCUGGCCCCAUAGGGAAAUGGAAACAAAGGAGCUCAUCUGAGCCUACAGCCAGGGGCUGCCCAUCCCAAGGUUGAUGUCACAGUGGGAGGGUAGUGUGGAUACUCCCAACACCCUGGGCCUGCCUGUGCAGGUCCCAUCUCCUGGGGAAGGCCCUGCCUGCUGGCCUCUGCACCCACGCCAGCCCACUCACCUGCCUGUUCUCCCAUGGGGAAGAAACAUCAGCGUAGGGAGGAACUGUGGGUCCCCAGGACCCAGCUGGCUCAAGUGAGGUCCCACCAGCCCCUGCUGGCUGCCGCUCACCUGUCCUUUGUUGUCACCCCCAUCAAUUCCUACCAUUUGCUCAGACCCAGCAGUGGGCUCCAUAGAAUCACAGGCGUGCCAGAUACGCCGCAAUAAAAAGGGCCAUGUGGUCAAAUGUCUGGAAACUCCGUGAACUCUAUGGCCCAGCUGCAGUGCAUGGGAGUGUAUUAAAGGCUCUGACAAUC